rnacentral:SRP_RNA from 1 species
UGUUGGUUCUCCCGCAACGCUACUCUGUUUACCAGGUCAGGUCCGGAAGGAAGCAGCCAAGGCAGAUGACGCGUGUGCCGGGAUGUAGCUGGCAGUG